GAAAUGCGAUAAGUAGUGUGAAUUGCAGAAUUCAGUGAAUCAUCGAAUCUUUGAACGCACAUUGCGCCCCUUGGUAUUCCAUGGGGCAUGCCUGUUCGAGCGUCAUUUGUACCCUCAAGCUUUGCUUGGUGUUGGGCGUCUUGUCUACCUCUUUAGCGGGUAGACUCGCCUUAAAGUAAUUGGCAGCCAGUGUUUUUGGCAGUAAGCGCAGCACAUUUUGCGUCUUAGUCCCUAAACAGUGGCUUCCACAAAGCCUCUUUCUCACUUUUGACCUCGGAUCAGGUAGGGAUACCCGCUGAACUUAAGC
rnacentral:misc_RNA from 1 species